rnacentral:lncRNA from 1 species
AUUGGAGGUGCUUGGCUAGCGAGGAAUGAAGUGACCACAAGACACUUUUCAUGUCAGUGGCACUACCUACAGACUUGCCAGGGGUAAAUAAUCAACUAUGAGAUACACAUAACAGGCAUCGGUGUUUCUUUUAUUAAAGGGGGAAACACCGGACAAACCACCCCUAUCACAAAUCUUCUGGUUACAGAAGUGGUUUAGGGUUUAACAAUAUUUAUGUGCAAUCUCAACCCCACACCCCCG